rfam:Myotis davidii contig156611, whole genome shotgun sequence.
GCCCUUGUGGCUCAGUAGGUUAGAGCAUUGUCCCUUACACUGGAAGGUCACAGGUUCCACUCCUGGUCAGGGCA